rnacentral:lncRNA from 1 species
GGACCGCCUUUUACAUAGAAACCAAUCAGUUCAAUAACAAAAAAUAAUGUGAUUUUGUUUUUUGAGUGAGAAAAUUGGAUUUUAAUCCUUGAAUAAUUUCAAUUAAUCUCUGGCGUAGGUGUUUGUCAUCUAAAUGUGUUGUUUUAAAUUUAUAAAACUCGUAAGCACACGAAUCAAUUGUAGAAUAGGUGUGUGUAAGUACGAGGUCGUACCCAAAACUAAUCUAACCCAAUUAGUUCAAUUUCUAACCUAGUUCAUUCAAAAUUUGAUUAAUUAUUUGGGGUCAUGCAGUCAUCCAACUUUUGUGUCACUCGCCUACCUCCCCGCCCAAAUUAUUGCUCACAACCUUUUUAAAAAACAUAUCGUACUCGUUGGAUACACAAGAAGAAUAAAUAAAAACAACGGUUGACUUUCAAAACUACCAAAAGUUUAUCUCCCUUAAUAUAAACAGAUCAUUUUUUGGUUUAUUUACUCUAGUACCCCUAAAAUUUCCAUCAAAUUUCAUUUUACCCCCCAAAAUUAAAGUGGGUCAUUUAACCUCCCUGACCGUGGUUUUGUGUUCUACUUUACCUUCCACCGUUAACAUCAUCCAAAAAACCAUAAAAAAAUGUUGACGUGACAAGGUCAUUAUGGUAAAAACACACAUAAUGGCCAAUUGCUGAGCAUAGCAUCCUACAUGGCAAAGUGGACCCCACAUGCUUUUAAAAUCGAAAUCUAAGCAGCUCAAGGGGUCAAUGGACCUCAAUUGGACCUCAAUUAACAAUGUGCUAUCUUCUUCUUCAAUAAAAAGGUCUAGGAACCUAGAAAAGAAAAAAAAUUACUUACCACCAUUUCAAGGAUUGAAGGUUCUAUACUGAGAGAAAACUUUCUCUAUCUUUCUUCGAUUAAAGGGUGUGAAGAUAAGGCACAAACUUCCACGAGGAGAAGAGCUGGUCAUUGUUGCACCUCAUUGUUACUGUGGGAGGCUUGCUCAGAUGCAGACUUCUUGGACAAAGUCCAACCCACUUUGGAUGUUCUUUGUGUGCCCAAAGUCAGAGGUAGGUUUUGGACUUGCUAUUUUAUCGAAAUUUGGACAAUAAAUUGUGAGAAUGUGAUGGAACUUUUGUUUGAAUGCAGAGGGGAAAAAAUGGUUGUCUGUGUUUUUUUUUUUUUUUUUUUGGUAUGGAUUGAUAUUAAAAUGCAUCCCUGUGAGAAAGCUCUGAUGGCUUGGCUGCUGAGGACAAUGUGAGAAGUUGAAGAUCAGAUUGGGUGUGUGAGAGUAAGAGAGAAAAAGUUGUGGAUUGUUAUGUUAAAUUUAUAGCCUCUUCAAUAGCCUCAUCAUCAUCCUCAUCCUCCCCAUACAUACCAUCAUAACCAGACUGUUCAUCACUCUCAUUUUCAUGUUCAAAUUUAGCAGGUUUCUUACAAUAGGUUCCAUCUCUUUCCAAGCCGCUGUAGUUUCAUCCACAUUAAUAAUAGGUUGGUGUUCCAAGUAAAUUACAAUCACUCUUUCAAAGCUAGGAGGCACCAAAUGACACCAUUCAAGUAGCUGAGCAUCACUAUCUAUACACACUUUAUUACCAUUUUGUAUCCCUGUCAAAACCAUUUGGUCAUGGUAGCCAAGCUCUUAUGCAUACUCAUAUAUCUCUAACAAAUUUAUGUAGUGAUCACACCAAUCCAAAUAAUCAAUAGACCCCCCACAUAAAACCACCUCUCAUUAAUGUUUCGGGACUUUACCAUUCUACCUUCAUAGUGUA